AACACGUGAGAGGGGGCAGGGGGGUAUAUAAAUAUUUGUGAACGGUGGGGAGAAGCUUGUGGGCAGAUGGCUGGACAUACAGAAACCAUGUUUUAAAACAAAUUAAUUUCCUUACAUAAUAGCAGAUAGUAAGCAACUAAACCAUCAGAUAUACCACGCACGAGUCGCCAGCCUGCCAUAUCCCACUUAUAGACAAGGGUUCAAACUCACACCUAUGGACAAUUUAGGGUCUUUAAUUAACCUUAACAUGUACUGUAUGUUUUGGGAAACGGAAGCUUGAGAACAACCAUCAUCAAACCCAGAACUCCUUCUUGCGAGGCAAACAUGCUUAUCAACAA